GGGUUCAUCCGUUGGUCGGGCUCUUUUGGUCUGUACUGGCGUGAUGGAUUCCUACCUUCUGAAUAACCAGCAUGUCAUUAAUUUGGUGCGCUGGGGAAGCAGGACUGUUACCUUGAAAAAAUUAGAGUGUUUAAAGCAGGCUCACGCUUGAAUACAUUAGCAUGGAAUAACGAAAUAGGACGUUUGAUUCUAUUUUGUUGGUUUCUAGGAUCGACGUA
rnacentral:rRNA from 1 species